AAUGUACACACCGCCCGUCGCUUUUACCGAUUGAGUGUUCAGGUGAGUCUUCUUGAUAGUGUCAAAGCUAAAAUUGAACAAACCUUAGCACUUAGAGGAAAAAGAAGUCGUAACAAGGUUUCCGUAGGUGAACCUGCGG
rnacentral:rRNA from 1 species